UAACAAGGAUUCCCCUAGUAACUGCGAGUGAAGCGGGAAGAGCUCAAAUUUAAAAUCUGGCGGCCUUGCCGUCCGAGUUGUAAUUUAGAGAAGUGUUUUCUGUGCCGGACCGUGUACAAGUCUCCUGGAACGGAGCGUCAUAGAGGGUGAGAAUCCCGUCUUUGACACGGACCCCCCGGUGCUCUGUGAUACGCUCUCGAAGAGUCGAGUUGUUUGGGAAUGCAGCUCAAAAUGGGUGGUGAACUCCAUCUAAAGCUAAAUAUUGGCGAGAGACCGAUAGCGAACAAGUACCGUGAGGGAAAGAUGAAAAGCACUUUGGAAAGAGAGUGAAACAGUACGUGAAAUUGCUGAAAGGGAAACGCUUGAAGUCAGUCGCGUCCGCCGGAAUUCAGCCCUCGUGGUGUACUUUCCGACGGACGGGCCAGCAUCACUUUUGACCGCCGGAAAAGGGCGGAGGGAAUGUGGCACCUCCGGGUGUGUUAUAGCCCUCUGUCGUAUACGGUGAUUGGGAGUGAGGACCGCCUAUCUUUGUAGGAUGCUGGCGUAAUGGCUUUAAACGACCCGUCUUGAAACACGGACCAAGGAGUCUAACAUGCCCGCGAGUGUUCGGGUGGAAAACCGGUGCGCGUAAUGAAAGUGAAAGUUGGGAAGGCUGUCGUGGCCUGCACCGACGCCCGGACUUGAGAUUUAUCGACGGUUCUGCGGUAGAGCGUGUAUGUUGGGACCCGAAAGAUGGUGAACUAUGCCUGAAUAGGGUGAAGCCAGAGGAAACUCUGGUGGAGGCUCGUAGCGAUUCUGACGUGCAAAUCGAUCGUCGAAUUUGGG
rnacentral:rRNA from 1 species